CUUUGGAUCUACACGGUCAUUCCAUACUCUUGUAUGUGUGUCUUUUUCAUGCUCUAUGUAUCAAGAAUUACAACAGGAAAGAAAAAAGUUGGAGAGCUCUUAAUAGUGGAAGAAUGCAACUAGCUGUGAAAAUUAAUGAGAUGUAAAGAACACAUUGAACAGAAAUAACAAAGAACUAUAAAAGUAGAAAGGAGAUAAAGACCACUUUAUGUAAAAAUUUUGGAAGCAAAUCUUGGAUCUGUAUAAAGCUAUUAGUUCUAAAGGAAUUUUCCCACAUUAAGUCAGAAUAUGGCACAAUCUCUUGAAUAUGUACCACAGGGUAAUGGGGAGGAAGAUGCAAAGUACAAUAUGGGAUCCUUUUUUCAGUAAUUUCAUCAUACCUUCUAUUGGACUACCCUUCCCAUGAAGAGUCGUUAUAAACAUUGAACGAAAUGUAAUAAACUCUUUGCCCUGGGGUGAAGUGACAGGCAGGUGAAAACUGGAAUAGGGUCCAUGAAGAAACUCCUGGCAUACAUUGUAUCCUCAACUGUAACUUCAGAGGGUCCCUCCUUAUAUCUCAAGCAGCAGCAGUAAUAAUGGCAGUGAGAACUCUGACAAUGGUGACCAGGGAGAGUUGUCAUGGUAAAGUCUCUAUGAGAGAGAGUUUGUUGAUGUCCAGGCUCUGAAGGACAUCUUAGCUGGCUAUAGCGGAUGGGGGCAAAACUCACAGAACUCACCGUGUGAAAAUUCUUGAAGAACCUUAUUACGAGAUCUUCUCCCUUGACCCGUCAUAGAUAAGGACACUUUCCUUCCAGUUCAGAAGGAUAGAGUGGAAUUCUAACUGCAGUAACAACUGCAGUGGAUGGCAGAGGGGUUAGGAGUGAAACUGCUAUUUCAAGGCAAAAUCUUGGUGGACCCGUCAGACCUGAGUUGUAUAGUGCCAAUGGAACAGUAACAAAACUGAGCCGGAAGCUGGCCAGGUCUAUGGAUAAUGAAAUUGCCUCCUGACUUUUGGAAACAUUUAAAAGCUUCACCUGGGCCUGUGCAGUGAAGCUCUUAGAGCAUUUCAACUUGGACAUAAAGUCACAGAAGAGGCAGAAAAGAACAAGAUGCUCUCUGCAUGAAUCAGCCUCUAGGACAUUAAGAUAUUUUUCUGAUAUGAAAGGAGAUGCAUAUGUACAUGACAUUACUGAGCAUAGCAAAGCAAAUGGACAACUGAUACAGGAAUACAUUUGCUCAAGACAUUGCAAAAGAGAGCAACACUAACGAACAAAGACAAAAACUUUGUGAUUUUAAAGAAGAACCUUAUUUAAAAAUUCCUUGCAUUUGCAAGUGGAGGUAACUGAAAAACUGUAUGAAAAAAAUUGUUUAUGGAAUCUGGGGCUUUUGGGAUUAUGUUUUUAUUUUAGUACUGAAUGGUUCGUAUUUUCGAGUCAGCAUUUCCCAUUAGACUACAGUUUCCUAAGGCAGAAUAAUGCUCCAUUCAUUUCUGUAUCCUGAAAGGUUAGCAGACUGAUUCAUACUCAGUACGGAAACAAUGCAAAUUUGAUAAAUGAAUGGAUACAAUGAACUCCUUUCAUCAAUUCCAUCAAUAACCACCU
ensembl:lncRNA